rnacentral:rRNA from 1 species
CACGUAGGGGGCAAGCGUUGUCCGGAUUUAUUGGGCGUAAAGCGCGCGUAGGCGGCCCUGUAAGUCCGUUGUGAAAGUCAAAGGCUCAACCUUUGAAAGCCGAUGGAUACUGCAGGGCUAGAGUCCGGAAGAGGCGAGUGGAAUUCCUGGUGUAGCGGUGGAAUGCGCAGAUAUCAGGAGGAACACCAAUAGCGAAGGCAGCUCGCUGGGACGGUACUGACGCUAAGGCGCGAAAGCGUGGGGAGCGAACAGG